rnacentral:sRNA from 1 species
AUAUCUCUCCGUACGGGAAGGAUGAGAAGCUUCGACUAAGGUUCGAUUCGAGCGUCAGCGAGAAAGCGUUGCCGCAGGCAACGACCCGAAGGGCGAAGCGCGCAGCGCUGAGUCAUCC